GUUGUGAAAUGUUGGGUUAAGUCCCGCAACGAGCGCAACCCUUAUCCUUUGUUGCCAGCGGUUAGGCCGGGAACUCAAAGGAGACUGCCAGUGAUAAACUGGAGGAAGGUGGGGAUGACGUCAAGUCAUCAUGGCCCUUACGACCAGGGCUACACACGUGCUACAAUGGCGCAUACAAAGAGAAGCGACCUCGCGAGAGCAAGCGGACCUCAUAAAGUGCGUCGUAGUCCGGAUUGGAGUCUGCAACUCGACUCCAUGAAGUCGGAAUCGCUAGUAAUCGUGGAUCAGAAUGCCACGGUGAAUACGUUCCCGGGCCUUGUACACACCGCCCGUCACACCAUGGGAGUGGGUUGCAAAAGAAGUAGGUAGCUUAACCUUCGGGAGGGCGCUUACCACUUUGUGAUUCAUGACUGGGGUGAAGUCGUAACAAGGUAACCGUAGGGGAACCUGC
rnacentral:rRNA from 1 species